UUCCUCCAGAGCUGGCCGGCAGCGGGGUCGUGCCGCCAGCAGAACGGCCUCGUUUGGCUCAAGACCCCGGUUUCCGGACGCCUCCACCGCCUACCGCUCCCACUACCGGCUUCCAUUCUCCAGAGGUGGUUCCAGGGGCAGAGGUUUUUCGUCCUCCAGGGGAAGAUCGGCAUCAGGUCGUCCUCCGGUGGUGUGAGGUGUUGGUGCCAUGGUGUUCCUGUUUUCUACUCUGUUCCUGAUGGGAUGUUGUGGCUGUCGUUUUCAGCUUCGCAAAGAAAGAGGAGGAGUUUCUUGAGCUGCAGACUUUUAUAGACUGUUUCCUGUGUUCCUAUUGGUUGUUUUAUUGUUCUCUGUUAACUGUUUUGCUGCUGGAGGUUAACAGUAAAGAAGGUUUAAUGCAAAAUACUCGCCUCCUGUCUUUAAUAAAAUUUAGAUUAAUACUG